AAGCAUUAAACCAUAAGGUUUUAUUAAUGUGUAAAUUAAUCUAGAACAAAUACCAUUAGCGAAAGGUAUUAUAAAACUGUUAGUCAAAUAUAUUUUUCCGGUAGUAACUCGUUUGACUUGCAGUUGUCAUCAAUACUUGGAAAGUAAAAUGAAUAUAAAGUUAAUUAUUAUCUUCUUUAUAAUGUUUUUCUUAAAUUCUUGUCUCGGAUGGCAGAGAAGUCGCAAAUGCUUGGAGCCGGUUCUUAGAGGACCUUGCACUGGCCGUGAUGAAAGAUACUAUUUCGAUUACAAAAGCAAAAAGUGUAAAACUUUCUCUUACAGUGGAUGUGGAAGCAACGCAAACAAUUUUAAAGACGUUAAAGAUUGUAUAAAAACAUGUAUCAAAGGGUAGAUAAAAUCUCUAUAAAAUUUAAAUAAUAUUUACAAAAUAUACUUCCAAAUAAAAA